UUAUUUAAUUGUUAAUUAGGUUGAAACCAGAUGUGUGGACCUCUAGACAUAUGGGUGUAGCCUGUCGCUACCUGACCUCUGGAGAAGUUUCUGCUGCUCUUCGACCAUUUUAUUUCACCGUUCAUCCAGAUCUCUUUGGCCAAUUCCCUCAAGAAAGGGCAGUAAACGAAAACUCAUUAAAAACUUUGAGUUCAAUUUUGGAGUCACUUCAAGAAAACAAAACCCCAGCGCCCCACUACACUGCGAUUUUAUCUCAAGCCUCAAGGAGUCGUCAUAAAUAGAGAGAGUCUAAAAUCAGUAAACAUUAGCUUAGUAAAACCAGAUAUAAGGGAGACCGUGACAGUGAUACUGACUUCUUGUAACCUCCCGACAACGUAUGUGGACAAAAUUGCACCGACUCCUGCGCACAAGCCUGAACCUUCCUUCCGUUCUAAGGUGUAUAACUACACUCAGGAACCCAGCACGAACUAUAACGAGCACGAUUACACUUACAACAGUAGGAUCAAGAGACCUGAAAGGAAAACUAAACCACCUAAGGAAUUUCAGUCUCUGAGGAGCUGGCUUGAAGAUAACGAAAGUGAGGCGCGGGGGAA